rnacentral:rRNA from 1 species
AGUGAACGCUGGCGGUAGGCCUAACACAUGCAAGUCGAACGGCAGCACAGUAAGAGCUUGCUCUUACGGGUGGCGAGUGGCGGACGGGUGAGGAAUACAUCGGAAUCUACUUUUUCGUGGGGGAUAACGUAGGGAAACUUACGCUAAUACCGCAUACGACCUACGGGUGAAAGCAGUGGAUCUUCGGACCUUGCGCGAUUGAAUGAGCCGAUGUCGGAUUAGCUAGUUGGCGGGGUAAAGGCCCACCAAGGCGACGAUCCGUAGCUGGUCUGAGAGGAUGAUCAGCCAAACUGGAACUGAGACACGGUCCAGACUCCUACGGGAGGCAGCAGUGGGGAAUAUUGGACAAUGGGCGCAAGCCUGAUCCAGCCAUACCGCGUGGGUGAAGAAGGCCUUCGGGUUGUAAAGCCCUUUUGUUGGGAAAGAAAAGCAGCAGGUUAAUACCCCGCUGUUCUGACGGUACCCAAAGAAUAAGCACCGGCUAACUUCGUG